ACCGCGCCUAAUAAUUUAUAUAUGUAAAAAAUACAUACAUGUAUCCUUGAAUAUUCUAAAUAAUCAUAACCUCAAAAAGAAUUAAGAUAAAAAAUAAUAGUGCAAUACAGUAAAUAUUCUCUUAAAGACAGGUGGUUUAAAACUAUGUACAGUCCACUCACAUAUGAAUGAGCUAUAACAGAGCUCUGCUGUAAAGCGCCUGGACGGUACAAUCCCCGUCUUUGGAUUUGUAGAAGUUGCCACGAAUAUUAGAUUAUUUAUUAAAAUAGC